rnacentral:rRNA from 1 species
UACAGAGGUCUCAAGCGUUGUUCGGAUUCAUUGGGCGUAAAGGGUGCGUAGGUGGCGCCGUAAGUCGGGUGUGGAAUUUCGGAGCUUAACUCCGAAACUGCAUUCGAUACUGCGGUGCUUGAGGACUGGAGAGGAGACUGGAGUUCAUGGUGUAGCAGUGAAAUGCGUAGAGAUCAUGAGGAAGACCAGUGGCGAAGGCGGGUCUCUGGACAGUUCCUGACACUGAGGCACGAAGGCCAGGGGAGCAAACGGG